rnacentral:lncRNA from 1 species
GAGGUAUCUUAUAUCCCUAUAUUAAAUUGGCCUAAUCUUUUGUCCAAGAAAAAUAGGCAAGAAAGAAAUAAACUUCUUUUGAUUGCUUUGAGUGUUGUAAUGAUUAUGGAUGUCAAAUUGUAUUUACCCUAAGAGUAGGUUUCUAGAGGGACCAGUUCCCAUCAUCUUAAAAGUUAUCAAAAUCUUAUUAGUAAUCAAUAUGAUGUCAUCAUAAAAUGCAUUGAAGUUGUGCUUUUCUUCUAGAAUUUUCAAUUACAAAAAAAUCUUGAUGUAUUAUCUAGAAUAAUGUAGGUAACUAGCAUUGUAGUAAUAUAGAUUCCAUCACCUUCUUAAAUUACUUUAAAUAUGUAAAGCUUUACUUGCAAAGAAGAGGAAAAGGGUCACUAAAAGCCUUAUAGUCAUACCUCUCUCAGUUGUUUAAAUAUGUAAAGCUUUUCUUCUUUCAGUUGUUUUCCCAUUGUUCUAUUUUCGAAAUGCAUUGCAUCAUAAGGGUACAAAGCUCUUUAGUUCAUGGGUUAGGAUAUUGAAGGGUUUAUGUCUAUAUAGGUUGUGUUCUUGAGUAAGGGAUCGUGUCACGAGUCGAUGAAUCACAAAGUCUUCUUCAAGAGUCAGCCCCUUGUUUCUAUUUCGACCCCUUCUUGAUGAACCUAUGGUUGCUGAAAUGUAGAGCUCUUCUGAGGGAGCCCUUGAACCUCAAGACCUAUUAAGAGAGACAGUUUGACUUUUCAGAUUAUGUGUUUGAAAUAUUGCUUGCUUUAUUGAUGUAAAUUAUCUCUUUAUAUAAGAGAAAUUACAAUAAGGAAAUAGAGUUCAAUUACAUGAUAAUUGCUCACUAAUUGCAAUCAGAAUAAUUAGAGUAAUUGCUGGACAGCAUAAUGGAAUCCUGAAUUGAAGGUGAUUGCCAUGAUAAUUGCCAUUUCCUGUUUCCUUCCUUGUCGAGAGCUUAAUCAGUGUGUGAAUUCCCUCCUAUUGUGGGCUUAUUGCGUCUGUGAUACAUCUUUCCAAUGAAGGCAUCUAUAACAUCACUUUCCUCUUGGACAAAUAGCUUUUCCUCAAGCGUGAAGUCAGGGUAUGUUGAGUGGAAGUGGGAAAGGGGUUCCCAGGUGGAAUCAUCAAUUGUCAAGCUAGACCAGUGGACCAAAAUUUCCCAUUCACCACGAUUGAUACGAGCCUUAAGUAUUUGCUGAGGUUUGGAAACAACAUGUCCAUCAUGUAGGGUGGAUGAUGUGGGCAUGGUGGAGGGAGGAGAUCCUUUAAAAUGCUUUAACAAGGAUGCGUGGAAUACAUCAUGGACCUUACUUAUAGGAGGUAAGGCAAGUGGGUAAGCAACAUCGUCGAUGCGUUUCAAUAUUUGAAAAGGACCAUAAUAUUUGGGCAGGAACUUGUUACCCUGCUGUUUUGAGACAGAAAGUUGAUGGAAGGGGUAUAAGCAAAGCAAAGCCCAAGUUGCUGGUUCAAAGGUGACAUCUCGAUGGCCUUUUUCACAAUGCUCCAUCAUCCUUGUUUGAGCUUGUUGAAGAGGAGACUGAAUUUACUUUCAGUACUUACUCGCGAUUCAAUAAUGCUUGGUCCACUGCCUCUACGCGAGAGCUGCACAGAGUAUAGGACAACAAUCUGGGGGGUGCACACCCAUAAAUAACCUGAAAUGGGAAAGUUUUAAGGGUUGUAUGGAAAGAAGUAUUGUAGCAAAACUCUGCCCAUGGGAGCCAUUCUACCCAACUCUUUAAUUUGUCACCUAUGAAACAACGAAGGUACAUUUCGAUGGUGCAGUUUACCACUUCGGUUUAGCCAUCUGAUUGCGGAUGAUACGUUGAUGAAAAUGCUAAUUUGGUUCCAACCAAACGAAACAAUUCCUUUCAAAAAUUGCUUGUAAAGACAACAUCAUAGUCACUCACAAUAGAUUCAAUCAGGAAGUCCAUGUAGACGGACGAUACGAGAGAAGAAAAUAUGAGUCACACUGAUUGCCCCAUAAGGAUGGGGCAGGGAAUGAAGUGGGCAUAUUUUGAAAAGCGAUCAACCACCACCACUAACACUGUCUUCCCUUUUACUUUUGGUAACCCUUCAAUAAAAUCCAUGGAGAUGUCGGACCAAACCUGCGUGGGAAGUUGCAAUGGCUGUAGUAAUCCGGCAGGAUGUAAAUUGGAAGUUUUAUUUUGGUGGCAAACAGGGCAGGAGGCAGCAAAUUCUGUAAUGACCGAUUUCAUACAUUCGCAAUAAAACUCGUUGCGAAUUCGGUAGAGGUGGUUUUCUGCACUCCUUCAUGAGUUCCAUUAUGAAUAGCAUUCAAGAUGGUCUCAAUCAAGGGAGAAGUGGAGGAGAGAUGAACCUUAUUUCGGUAAAAUAUCAGCUGUUCAUGUACUGUCCAGUCAGAAUCAGCAUCGCCAUUGAGGAUUUGUUGCUGCAAUUGAGAUAGGAAUUCAGUUUUAGCAAUUUCACGUCUGAUUGCAUCAAAUAAAAGGACAUGUGGCUGGGAAAUCACCAUGAAUAAUUUAGGUUCAUCUUGGCGGCGUGAAAGAGCAUCGACUGUCUUGUUGUGCUUCCCCACUUUAUACUCAACCCGAAAGAUAAAGCCCAUAAGCUUACACAACCAAGGUUGUUGGGGAGGAGUUGUGAGGCAUUGUUCAAGCAAAUACUUAAGACUGAAAUGGUCUGUGCGAAUGACAAAAGAUGUGCCCCAAAGAUAUGCAUGCCAAUGUUGAAUUGCUUUGGCAGUCCAAUCAGUUCGCGCUCAUAAGCUGCCAACCAGUGAUGACGAACUGCUAACCGACGACUGAAAAAAGCUAUGGGAUGCCUCUUGCUGGAGGACAUCACUGAUACUUUUGCCACUAGAGGCAUCACACUCAACCUCAAAUUUCUUAUUGAAAUUCGGUAGCUGUGGGAUAGGGGAUUGAAACAUGGCUUGUUUUAAUCUUUCAAAUGCUAUUAUGGAGUCUUCGGUCCAUUUCAAAUAGUUCUUUUUUAAUAAUCGUGUAAGAGGUGCAGCAAUUUGCCCAUAAUCCCAAAUAAAUUUUCUGUAGUAGCUAGUCAAGCCAAGAAAUUCGCACAAGGCUGUUAGGGAUUGAGGAAGAGGCCAAUUCGUUAUGGCACUUAUUUUGGUAGUAUCCGCUCAAACUCCACUGGUGAUAUGCCUCAAAUAGGCUCCUUGUUGCUCACCAAAUGAACAUUUAGAUUUUUUUAAAAAUAAAUGGUGAGCACAAAGCAAUUGAAAGACAAGCUAAAUGUGAGUCAAAUGCUCUUCCCAAGUCUUGCUAUAAAUUAAUAUGUCAUCAAAGAAAGUCAGAACGAAGUUGCAGAGAUAAAUGUUGAAAUACCUCGUUCAUUAAUGCUUGAAAAGUGGAAGGGGCAUUAGAGAGACCAAGCAGCAUGACUAGAAAUUCAAAGUGCCCAUGGUGUGCGUGGAAGGCGGUCUUUUCAACAUCAGUUGCUGCCAUACGAACUUGAUCUCAAAUCAAGUUUUGUGAAAUAUUUGGCUCCAUGGACUUCAUCUAACAAUUCAUCUACAAUAGGAAUAAGAAAUUUAUCAUUUAUUGUCUUCCAUUGAGUUCACGACAGUCUGAUGUAAAACCGCCAUGAACCAUCAUGCUUUUUUACCAACAGGACAGGGGAAGAAAAUGGAGAUUGAUUUGGCCGUAUGAUUCCUUGUGAAGCAUAUCUGCACACUGUCUCUCGAUCUCAUUUUUAUGCAAAUAUGAAUACCGAUAAGGGCCAACUAGCACAAGAGGGGAACCAGGAAGCAAACAAAUACGGUGGUCACAUUUGCGGAUUGGGGGCAACCUUGUAGGCUCCUGAAAUAGAAUGUGAAAGUCACCUAAUAGAGGAUCCAGCUGCGGGUGUUUGUCUUGUGGGUAUAAUACAUGGAGAUGUGGCUGAAGCUCAACCUGCAAGCCUUGCAAAACAACCUGUUCAUGGUGAGUGUUGCAAAGUUCCACUAGAUUGGCCCUAAUGUCAUUAACAAUUGUACUCCAAGAACUAUAUCAAAUCCAGUUAAAGGUAUAAUGUAAAGUUCAAUGGGAAAAAACAUUUUGCAAGUAGGAGAUCCGUUUUACAGAGGAAUUUUCUGCCCAUUAGCUACUGCCACUUGGCGACCGGUUCCUUGUUUAACCGGAAUGUGUAAAUGUUGAGCAGCCAUGCUACUUAGGAAAUUAUGGGUGCUACUUGAGUCAGAUUAGUACUUUUAUUAGACAGCCAUGGAUUUAUGCAACCACCUGCAUGGUGCGAGAAUGUUGGAACCCAGUAAUGGCAUGCAAGGAAAUUGUCGGUUCUACUUCUGUUUCAUUGUUCAGAUUGUCAUUCUCUAGGCCUGAAUCAUCAAUUUCUAGCCAAAAUAAUUUCUUAUAUUGAUAGCUGGCGCUGUACAUUUCGUCACAAUUAUAGCAUAGUCCCCUUGUCCUCCUAUUUGCCAUUUCUGCUCGGGAUAGCUUCUUAAUAAAGGGUGUGGAGUUGCUACCACUACUCAAAACUGUGAUGGAGUUGCUUCUUGUGGUAGAGAGUGCUUUUGGUGUCAUAGUUGAUUUGUUAUUAACCCAGUUACUCCUCUGGUACCCCCAAUUCUUUCCUAUGUGCUGCUUCUUCUUAAAGGCUUGAGCAAGACUCAUGGCUGUUAUUAGAUUGGGCGGAUUUUGCAGUUCCACAACCACCCGUAUGUCCUCUGAUAGGCCUGUCGUAAAAAAAUCAACCUGUUGAUCCACUCAAACAGUAGUAGCUCGGGCUAACAAGUUUUGAAAUUGUCUUUAAUAUUCUUUUAUGGAACCAGUAUGCUUUAAGUUGACUAAUUCUCCCAAUGGUUUAGAUUGGAGUGGAGGACCAAACCUCAUGUUGCAAUAUUCUCUUUGAAGUAUUCUUUGAAGGUUGUUCAAGGUAGCCUUGGUUCCUCCUGACUAAUUUUGUGGAACCAUAAUUGAGCCUCGCCUAUCAAAUGAAAGGCUGCAAUCCCCACCUUAUCAUCCUCAGGUGUUCGUUGGUUUAAAAAAAAUUGAUCACAUCUAUGCAACCAACUGAGUGGGUCUUUUGACCCAUCAAAUACGGGAAAGUCCAUUUUGACAUAUUGCGGCACCAUCCCUCCCGUAGGUCGUGCAUCUGCAUAUCUCCCUUGCGUCUCAUUUCUUGGUUCUGAAGUGGGUGGGUACUGCUACUCAUUCCCACUUCAGGUUCAUUGUCUCCGCUGAUACUAAGGAUGCCCAGAAUUUUCUAUAUUUGAUGGAAUAAAUUUUGAAAUUGAGUCUCCAAGCAUGGUUCCACCAAUGCCACCCGAGCUUCAUUUUGAGACUGGAUCUCUUGGAUAAGAGAUUUUAGUUCAUCUCUUGUAGGAUCUCCCAUGAUAGUUGGCUCUAAUACCAAGUCGUGUUCUUGAGUAAGGGGCUGUGUCACGAGUCGAUGAACCACAAAGUUUUCUUCAAGAGUCAGCUCCUUGUUUCUAUUUGGACCUCUUCUUAAUGAAUCUAUGGUUGCUGAAACGUAGAGCUCUUCUGAGGGAGCCUUUGAACCUCAAGACUUGUUAAGAGAGACAAAGUCUGACUUUUUAGAUUGUGUUUGAAAUAUUGCUUGCUUUAUUGAUGAUAAUUAUCUAUUUAUAUAAGAGAAAUUACAAUAAAGAAAUAAAAUUCAAUUACAUGAUAAUUGCUUACUAAUUGCAAUUAGAAUAAUUAGAGUAAUUGCUGGACAGCAUAAUGGAAUCCUGAAUUGAAGGUGAUUGCCAUGAUAAUUGCCAUUUCCUGUUUCCUUGUCGAGAGCUUAAUUAGUGCAUGAAUUCCCUCCUAUUGUGGGCUUACUGCGUCUUUGAUACAUCUUUCCAAUGAAGGCGUCUAUAACAAUAUGUUAGUUUGGUCAGUGAUAAGACAUGACUACCUCAUAGUGAAGAGCAAUUUGCUAUACGCCAAUAACAUGCAUGUAGCUGUAAGUCCAAUAUGUUAGCAAGCAUGUGAAAAAUCUUCUAAAGAAUAAGAACACCUUAAAAAGUAAAUAGCUUUGAAGAGAAUGCAGAAAGCAAUUAUGUAGUAUGAAAUUCUCUGUAGCAGUCAACUUUAAGUUUAUUCUAAUUAUUUUUUUAUAACAUUUAUUGAAAUUCCUUCACUAUAUUAUUCUUUGCCCCUUCAAAUUUGAAGUUAUUGUCUCCAAAUUUGAGUAACAAGGUUAAGAAACAUAGUACUCUGAAUGGAUGAUUUCCUUGAUAAAUGUUAAUGAUAGUGCGUGCAUCAGUAAUUUUGGCUACUUUUGCUUGACUUAUAAAUGUUUAUGGAUAAAAAAUUUGGCAGGAAAGGGCAG